rnacentral:snoRNA from 1 species
AACGCAUGGUGAAGGCACUGUGUCAAUAAGUCCUUAUACCUCCUCCAUGAAUUAUAUAGGGUUUCUAAGUUUAUUUGAACAAAGGAAGAGAUAUCAUUCCUUAACUU